GACGAACGCUGGCGGCGUGCCUAACACAUGCAAGUCGAACGAAGCACUUCUGAAUGGAGAUUCGUCAAAGUUCAGAUUUGACUUAGUGGCGGACGGGUGAGUAAUGCAUGAGCAACCUGCCCUGCAGUGGGGGACAACAGUUGGAAACGACUGCUAAUACCGCAUGAUGUAUCUGGAAGGCAUCUUCCGGAUACCAAAGAUUUAUCGCUGUGGGAUGGGCUCAUGUCUGAUUAGUUAGUUGGUGGGGUAACGGCCUACCAAGACUGCGAUCAGUAGCCGGACUGAGAGGUUGAACGGCCACAUUGGGACUGAGAUACGGCCCAGACUCCUACGGGAGGCAGCAGUGGGGAAUAUUGGGCAAUGGGCGAAAGCCUGACCCAGCAACGCCGCGUGAAGGAAGAAGGUCUUCGGAUUGUAAACUUCUUUUAUGAGGGACGAAGGAAGUGACGGUACCUCAUGAAUAAGCCACGGCUAACUACGUG
rnacentral:rRNA from 1 species